AGUGAACGCUGGCGGCAGGCCUAACACAUGCAAGUCGAGCGGCAGCGCGGGGGCAACCCUGGCGGCGAGCGGCGGACGGGUGAGGAAUGCAUCGGAAUCUACCUCGUUGUGGGGGGAUAACCUCGGGAAACCGGGACUAAUACCGCAUACGACCUACGGGUGAAAGUGGGGGACCUUCGGGCCUCACGCGAUGAGAUGAGCCGAUGCCGGAUUAGCUAGUUGGCGGGGUAAAGGCCCACCAAGGCGACGAUCCGUAGCUGGUCUGAGAGGAUGAUCAGCCACACUGGAACUGAGACACGGUCCAGACUCCUACGGGAGGCAGCAGUGGGGAAUAUUGGACAAUGGGCGCAAGCCUGAUCCAGCCAUGCCGCGUGUGUGAAGAAGGCCUCGGGUUGGUUAAAGACGAACUUUUGUUUGGGGUAAGGAAACCGGUACGGGAGUUAAUAACUUACGGUCUGAAUGACGGUACCCAAACGAAUAAGAC
rnacentral:rRNA from 1 species